rnacentral:rRNA from 1 species
GGUUUAAUUCGAUGAUACGCGAGGAACCUUUACCCGGGCUUGAACUGCAGGAGAACGAUUCAGAGAUGAUGAGGUCCUUCGGGACUCCUGUGGAGGUGCUGCAUGGUUGUCGUCAGCUCGUGCCGUGAGGUGUCGGCUUAAGUGCCAUAACGAGCGCAACCCCUCUCCGUAGUUGCCAUCGGGUGAUGCCGGGCACUCUGCGGACACUGCCACCGUAAGGUGUGA